rnacentral:sRNA from 1 species
AGAAAUAAGGGAAAGUUCUAGGCUGAAUUUGAAAAUCUUCAAAACAUCAAUAAGUUGCGCAAUUGAAUUGUCGUCAGGAGGGGUUGUGUCGAUCGACACCUACGUCAAUUUUUGUCUAUGGAUUGCUUUUGCAGCUUAAGUUGUCUGUUUUGCACCAGAAUGCUCCAUAAUCUCCAAAUGCAUCCCAAACAUGUAAAGACCUAAAAAAGAUUAGAAAAGACUCUACAAAUAACAAAAGGACUCUAAAACUUAU